rnacentral:rRNA from 1 species
GAGUUUGAUCAUGGCUCAGGACGAACGCUGGCGGCGUGCUUAACACAUACAAGUCGAACGGUAAGGCCCCUUCGGGGGUACACGAGUGGCGAACGGGUGAGUAACACGUGAGCAACCUGCCCUUGACUCUGGGAUAAGCGAUUGAAAAGUCGUCUAAUACCGGAUAUGACUCUCACAGGCAUCUGUGAGGGUGGAAAUGCUCCGGCGGUCAAGGAUGGGCUCGCGGCCUAUCAGCUUGUUGGUGAGGUAACGGCUCACCAAGGCUUCGACGGGUAGCCGGCCUGAGAGGGCGACCGGCCACACUGGGACUGAGAUACGGCCCAGACUCCUACGGGAGGCAGCAGUGGGGAAUAUUGCGCAAUGGGCGAAAGCCUGACGCAGCAACGCCGCGUGCGGGAUGACGGCCUUCGGGUUGUAAACCGCUUUCAGCAGGGACGAAGGGUUUCUGACGGUACCUGCAGAAGAAGCACCGGCCAACUACGUGCCAGCAGCCGCGGUGAUACGUAGGGUGCGAGCGUUGUCCGGAAUUAUUGGGCGUAAAGAGCUUGUAGGCGGUUUGUCACGUCGGAAGUGAAAACUCAGGGCUUAACCCUGAGCCUGCUUCCGAUACGGGCAGACUAGAGGAAGGNAGGGGAGAAUGGAACUCCUGGUGGAGCGGUGGAAUGCGCAGAUAUC